rnacentral:rRNA from 1 species
AGCUAAUAGAUACCCGGGUAGUCCCAGCAGUAAACGGUGCGCGUUUGGUGUGAGCAGGUUCGACCCUGUUCGCGCCGGAGCUAACGCGUUAAACGCGCCGCCUGGGAAGUACGAUCGCAAGAUUAAAACUCAAAGAAAUUGACGGGGGCCCGCACAAGCGGUGGAGUAUGUGGCUUAAUUCGAUGCAACGCGAAGAACCUUACCUGGGUUUGACAUGCAUCUCUAAGGCGGUGAAAGCUGCCGAGGGUAGCAAUACCCAAUUUGCACAGGUGCUGCAUGGCUGUCGUCAGCUCGUGUCGUGAGAUGUUGGGUUAAGUCCCGCAACGAGCGCAACCCUUGUAUGCUGUUGCCAUGAUUACUCAUGGCUCUCUGCGUAGACUGCCCCGUGAAACGGGGAGGAAGGUGGGGAUGACGUCAAGUCAGCAUGGCCCUUACACCCAGGGCUGCACACGUACUACAAUGCCCAGUACAAUUCGAACCCGUCCCGCGAGGGCUGGGAAAUCAGCGAAAACUGGGCUCA